UGGAAAAUGUUACUUGGGAGAGGUGGCAUCCACCUGCCCCACUGGCUCUGACUGGCAGAGCCAGGAAGAGCAUCCCAGGUGGAGGGAACAGCGGGGGAGUCAGCGGCCCUAAGGAACGUCACCUGGCCAAGUGGUGGGAUGAUGGUGGUGAUAUCUGUCUGGGCCUGGGAGCCAGCAAGAGGCACACGCUUGGACCAGAGCUGGCCUCCUUCUGCUGUUCUGACUGGGCGACGAUUCACUUGUGCUGACGGCCACUCCUCUUGCUCACAGGAUGCCAUGCGCUAUGGACAUGACAGAUGAAGAAACCAAAGCCUGGGAGGUUCAGUAACUUUGCCAAAGUGACACAGGUCACCACCACGGGUGGUGCCAGGAAUGAUGUGCUGUCAGCAGCGACUCCUCCAGCCGUUGCUCAGGAGCUCCCGGCGGCUUGGGGAAUCAGUGUGCUGGCACCAGAAGGGUGAGGCCACCAGAGAAAUGGGAGCCUGAGCAGAGUUUCAAUGUGACACCAAGAAAUCAC